rnacentral:rRNA from 1 species
UACAGGGGGUGCAAACGUUGCUCGGAAUCAUUGGGCGUAAAGGGCGCGUAGGCGGCCGAUCAAGUCAGACGUGAAAGCCCCGGGCUUAACCUGGGAACUGCGUUUGGGACUGGUUUGCUAGAGAUCGGGAGAGGAGAGUGGAAUUCCCAGUGUAGAGGUGAAAUUCGUAGAUAUUGGGAAGAACACCGGUGGCGAAGGCGGCUCUCUGGACCGAUACUGACGCUGAGGCGCGAAAGCGUGGGGAGCAAACAGG